rnacentral:rRNA from 1 species
AUGAAGAAGGGGAAGAUUUUUAAGCUAGCUAAGGGAUUCAGAGGAAGGGCUAAAAACUGCAUUAGAAUUGCCAGGGAGCGUGUAGAAAAGGCAUUGCAAUAUUCGUAUAGGGAUCGGCGCAUUAAGAGGGACAUGCAAUCUCUCUGGAUCUAGCGCAUCAAUGCUGGUACACGACUCCAUGAGGUGAACUAUGGCAGCAUCAUGCAUGGACUGAUGAAGGAGAAUGUCCAACUCAACAGGAAGGUGCUUUCGGAGCUGUAGAUGCAUGAGCCAUACAACUUCAAGGCUCUCGUUGAUGUAUCUCGCACUGCAUUCCCUGGGAACAGGCCGGCUGCCAAGAAGGAAGGACUAGCAAGUAUUCUAUAA